CGGUUUGACUACAACAUGGCAAUAAACCCCAGCCAUCUGUGCCCUUUAUUCAACAGCUAGUAAACAAACACAAAGGCACUCAAUGGCUGGUGCUCUGCAUAGCCUCAAACAUAAGUAUGUUAGUUUUAACUGCUUCUUCAGAAUAGUUCUUUUUAGUAAAAAAAGGACACAGAUUCUCGAUAAAUAACUAUUGAGCUUUUACAUUAUUCAUUGAUUAGUUUUCAUCAGGGUAACGUUCAAGUUGACGCUUCUAAGCAUUAGAAGUUAUAAUUGACGUAAAA